rnacentral:rRNA from 1 species
UACGUAGGGGGCAAGCGUUGUCCGGAAUCAUUGGGCGUAAAGCGCGUGUAGGCGGUCCGGUAAGUCCGCUGUGAAAGUCGGGGGCUCAACCUCGGAUGCCGGUGGAUACUGUCGGGCUUGAGUACGGAAGAGGCGAGUGGAAUCCUGGUGUAGCGGUGAAAUGCGCAGAUAUCAGGAGGAACACCAAUUGCGAAGGCAGCUCGCUGGGACGUUACUGAC